rnacentral:rRNA from 1 species
UACAGAGGUCUCAAGCGUUGUUCGGAUUCAUUGGGCGUAAAGGGUGCGUAGGUGGUGGGGUAAGUCGGAUGUGAAAUCCCGGGGCUCAACCCCGGAACUGCAUUCGAUACUGCCUUGCUCGAGUACUGGAGAGGAGACUGGAAUUUACGGUGUAGCAGUGAAAUGCGCAGAUAUCAGGAGGAACACCGAUGGCGAAGGCAGGUCUCUGGGCCACUACUGACGCUGAGAAGCGAAAGCAUGGGGAGCGAACAGG